GAUGAAGAACGUAGCGAAGUGCGAUAAGUAGUGUGAAUUGCAGAAUUCCGUGGAUCAUCGAAUUUUUGAACGCAAAUUGCACUCUCUGGUAUUCCGGAGAGUAUGCCUGUUUGAGGGUCAUUAAAAUCAAAAUCGAUUUGUUUACUUUGGUAACUUGGUAACAUUUUCGGAAUUGGGUCAUCUUAAACCUUCAGGUUCAAGAGGCUUAAAAUUGAUCAUUUUUUGGUAUGAAUUAAGCGUAUUUAAGAUCACUUAUCACGCGCUUGACUCCUAUCGGAUGUUUAUUAGGCGUGACCAUGAUCAUGGUUUCGCGCCCAUAAUCUUUCCAUGAAAUGACCUCAAAUCAGGUAGGAAUACCCGCUGAACUUAAGCAUAUCAAUAAGCGGAGGA
rnacentral:misc_RNA from 1 species